UACAAAGGGGGCUAGCGGUGUUCGGAAUCACUGGGCGUAAAGCGCACGCAGGCGGAUCGAUAAGUCGGGGGUGAAAGCCCGGGGCUCAACCUCGGAAUUGCCUUCGAUACUGUCGGUCUCGAGUCCGGGAGAGGUGAGUGGAAUUCCUAGUGUAGAGGUGAAAUUCGUAGAUAUUAGGAAGAACACCAGUGGCGAAGGCGGCUCACUGGCCCGGUACUGACGAUCAGGUGCGAAAGCGUGGGGAGCAAACAGG
rnacentral:rRNA from 1 species